CCUCUGGAGAACAGCAUAACUGCAGCUUGAAGAGGACCAUGGAUUGGGAUGUUUCCAAUGUUGGUUUCUGAAUCAAGUGGACCUAUAAAUUAUACCUCGGCCUGAGCUAGGCUUUCAUCACAGCACAGAAGUCUUGAUCCACAGGGCCCGCCAGCCAUCGUCCUCCAGGGUUAGGAAGGGCAGCCACGUCGCCGACUCUCAUGCUUGAGGAACCAUUUCCAAAGAUCUUUUGGUACAUUUCCAAACUUCUGUCCAUCUGGAGGCCAUCAUCCAUUGUUUCAGGCAUCCAUUGCUCCUUCCCAUCGUAGACCUUGUUUGUCGUGACGAUCUGAACCUGUUGGUGUUAAAUAAGUCAGUGUCUGUACCACUCACUUUGUUUCCGUGGUGAUUUGGUCGGGCUGAACUCAUCCAGAAACGUAGCUGAAAAGUCAAAACACAUAAUGGGCCUCCACCUAAAGCAACAGUUUAAAUCUUGAGGGGACCAGAACCCUGGCCACGCUCACACAUGUAGAACCCCAUGCCGGUUAAAAGCUGACCAGGCUCACAUGUAGAACCAUUUGCCAUGUUAAAAGCUGACCACUCACAUGAACCAUUUGCCAGGUUAAAAGCUGACCACUCACAUGAACCAUUUGCCAGGUUAAAAGCUGACCACUCACACGAACCAUUUGCCAGGUUAAAAGCUGACCACUCACACAAAGAACCAUUUGCCAGGUUAAAAUCUGACCACUCACACAAACCAUUUGCCAGGUUAAAAUCUGACCACUCACACCAUUUGCCAGGUUAAAAGCUGACCACUCACACCAUUUGCCAGGUUAAAAGCUGACCACUCACAC
ensembl:lncRNA